AUCUUGCACAAUGGGCGAAAGCUUGAUGCAGCAACGCCGCAUCAGUGAUGCAGCCCUUCGUCUCGUAACGUUCUUUGAUCAGGGAUGAUAAUGACGGUACCGGAAUAACAACCCACGGCUAACUCCUUACCAGCAGCCGCGGUAAUCCGUAGGUGGCGAGCGUUGUCCGGAAUUACUGGGCGUAAAGGAUGCGUAGGUGGAUACUUAAGUGGGAUGUGAAAUCCCCGGGCUCAACCCGGGAACUGCAUUCCAAACUGGGUAUCUAGAGUGCAGGAGAGGAAAGCGGAAUUCCUAGUGUAGCGGUGAAAUGCGUAGAUAUUAGGAGGAACACCAGUGGCGAAGGCGGCUUUCUGGACUGUAACUGACACUGAGGCAUGAAAGCGUGGGUAGCAAACAGG
rnacentral:rRNA from 1 species